GACGAACGCUGGCGGCGUGCUUAACACAUGCAAGUCGAACGGAAAGGCCCUGCUUUUGUGGGGUGCCCGAGUGGCGAACGGGUGAGUAACACGUGAGUAACCUGCCCUUGACUUUGGGAUAACUUCGGGAAACUGGGGCUAAUACCGGAUAGGAGCUCCUGCUGCAUGGUGGGGGUUGGAAAGUUUCGGCGGUUGGGGAUGUACUCGCGGCUUAUCAGCUUGUUGGUGGGGUAGUGGCUUACCAAGGCUUUGACGGGUAGCCGGCCUGAGAGGGUGACCGGCCACAUUGGGACUGAGAUACGGCCCAGACUCCUACGGGAGGCAGCAGUGGGGAAUAUUGCACAAUGGGCGGAAGCCUGAUGCAGCAACGCCGCGUGCGGGAUGACGGCCUUCGGGUUGUAAACCGCUUUCGCCUGUGACGAAGCGUGAGUGACGGUAAUGGGUAAAGAAGCACCGGCUAACUACGUG
rnacentral:rRNA from 1 species